UUUUGACCUCGGAUCAGGUAGGGAUACCCGCUGAACUUAAGCAUAUCAAUAAGCGGAGGAAAAGAAACCAACAGGGAUUGCCCUAGUAACGGCGAGUGAAGCGGCAACAGCUCAAAUUUGAAAUCUGGCUCUUUUAGAGUCCGAGUUGUAAUUUGCAGAGGGCGCUUUGGCUUUGGCAGCGGUCCAAGUUCCUUGGAACAGGACGUCACAGAGGGUGAGAAUCCCGUACGUGGUCGCUGGCUAUUGCCGUGUAAAGCCCCUUCGACGAGUCGAGUUGUUUGGGAAUGCAGCUCUAAAUGGGAGGUACAUUUCUUCUAAAGCUAAAUAUUGGCCAGAGACCGAUAGCGCACAAGUAGAGUGAUCGAAAGAUGAAAAGCACUUUGGAAAGAGAGUCAAACAGCACGUGAAAUUGUUGAAAGGGAAGCGCUUGCAGCCAGACUUGCUUACAGUUGCUCAUCCGGGCUUUUGCCCGGUGCACUCUUCUGUAGGCAGGCCAGCAUCAGUUUGGGCGGUAGGAUAAAGGUCUCUGUCACGUACCUCCUUUCGGGGAGGCCUUAUAGGGGAGGCGACAUACUACCAGCCUGGACUGAGGUCCGCGCAUCUGCUAGGAUGCUGGCGUAAUGGCUGUAA
rnacentral:rRNA from 1 species